rnacentral:snRNA from 1 species
CCAGUGUUGCAGUGUCGCUGUGGAAAGUGCACCA